rnacentral:rRNA from 1 species
GAUGAACGCUGGCGGCGUGCUUAACACAUGCAAGUCGAACGGAAAGGCCGAAGCUUGCUUCGGUACUCGAGUGGCGAACGGGUGAGUAACACGUGGGUGAUCUGCCCUGUACUUCGGGAUAAGCUUGGGAAACUGGGUCUAAUACCGGAUAUGACGAUCUCUUGGAUGGGGUUGUGGAAAGCUUUUGCGGUGUGGGAUGAGCUCUCGGCCUAUCAGCUUGUUGGGGGGGUGAUGGCCUACCAAGGCGUCGACGGGUAGCCGGCCUGAGAGGGUGUACGGCCACAUUGGGACUGAGAUACGGCCCAGACUCCUACGGGAGGCAGCAGUGGGGAAUAUUGCACAAUGGGCGCAAGCCUGAUGCAGAGACGCCGCGUGGGGGAUGACGGCCUUCGGGUUGUAAACUCCUUUCGCACUCGACGCAGCCUUUUGGUGACGGUAGGUUGAGAAGAAGCACCGGCUAACUACGUG